UGACGCUGGGAUCUUUCCUGG
rnacentral:misc_RNA from 1 species